rnacentral:misc_RNA from 1 species
UAAUAAGUGUUUUAUGGCACUUUUUUUAAAUCCAUGUCCCACCUUGUGUGCAAUGUCAGUCGAUCUUCUUCAUGGAGAUCGACCAAACAUCAACCUUUAUCUUUUAACUCUUUGUCUGAAAAAAUAUUAUGAAUAAACAAUUCAAAAUA